CUCCAACCCAUUGUGACCUUACCUAUGUUCUGUUGCCUCGGCGGCGUGGUCAGCGCCCCUCUGAAAAGAGGACGAUGCCCUCCCGCCGGCAGCACCAAACUCUUUGAAUUUUACAGCGGAUUACAGUUCUGAUUUGAAAACAAAAAAACAAGUUAAAACUUUCAACAACGGAUCUCUUGGUUCUGGCAUCGAUGAAGAACGCAGCGAAAUGCGAUAAGUAAUGUGAAUUGCAGAAUUCAGUGAAUCAUCGAAUCUUUGAACGCACAUUGCGCCCGGCAGUAAUCUGCCGGGCAUGCCUGUCCGAGCGUCAUUUCAACCCUCGAACCUCCGUUUCCUCAGGGAAGCUCAGGGUCGGUGUUGGGGCGCUACGGCGAGUCUUCGCGACCCUCCGUAGGCCCUGAAAUACAGUGGCGGUCCCGCCGCGGUUGCCUUCUGCGUAGUAAGUCUCUUUUGCAAGCUCGCAUUGGGUCCCGGCGGAGGCCUGCCGUCAAACCACCUAUAACUCCAGAUGGUUUGACCUCGGAUCAGGUAGGGUUACCCGCUGAACUUAAGCAUAUCAAUAAGCGGAGGGAAAAGAA
rnacentral:rRNA from 1 species